rnacentral:rRNA from 1 species
UACGAAGGGGGCUAGCGUUACUCGGAUUGACUGGGCGUAAAGGGCGCGUAGGCGGCUUGUACAGUCAGGCGUGAAAUUCCUGGGCUCAACCUGGGGGCUGCGUUUGAUACGUGCGGGCUUGAGUUCGGAAGAGGGUCGUGGAAUUCCCAGUGUAGAGGUGAAAUUCGUAGAUAUUGGGAAGAACACCAGUGGCGAAGGCGGCUCACUGGUCCGGUACUGACGCUGAGGUGCGAAAGCGUGGGGAGCAAACAGG